rnacentral:rRNA from 1 species
GAUGAACGCUAGCGACAGGCCUAACACAUGCAAGUCGAGGGGCAGCACAUGAGUAGCAAUACGAUGGUGGCGACCGGCGCACGGGUGAGUACCACGUAUGCAACCUGCCUUCUACUAUGGGAUAACCCGUUGAAAGACGGACUAAUACCGUAUAAUACAGGGGCUCCGCAUGGAGAUAUUUGUGAAAGAUUUAUUGGUAGAAACUGGGAAAGCGUAUGAUUAGAUAGUUGGUGAGGUAACGGCUCACCAAGUCAACGAUCAUUAGGGAUUCUGAGAGGAAGGUCCCCCACACUGGUACUGAGACGCGGACCAGACUCCUACGGGAGGCAGCAGUGAGGAAUAUUGGUCAAUGGACGAGAGUCUGAACCAGCCAAGUCGCGUGAAGGAAGACGGUUCUAUGAAGUGUAAACUUCUUUUGUGCAGGAAUAAAGUGAGUUACGUGUAACCUUUUGUAUGUACUGUACGAAUAAGGAUCGGCUAACUCCGUGCCAGCAGCCGCGGUAAUAC